rnacentral:rRNA from 1 species
UACGGAGGAUGCAAGCGUUAUCCGGAUUUAUUGGGUUUAAAGGGUGCGCAGGUGGUUAAAUAAGUCAGUGGUGAAAGUCUGCCGCUUAACGGUAGGAUUGCCAUUGAUACUGUUUAACUUGAGUUUGGAUGAGGUAGGCGGAAUGAGUAGUGUAGCGGUGAAAUGCAUAGAUAUUACUCAGAACACCGAUUGCGAAGGCAGCUUACUAAUCCACAACUGACACUGAGGCACGAAAGCGUGGGGAUCAAACAGGAUUAGAUACCCCGGUA